rnacentral:pre_miRNA from 8 species
AUGACUGAUUUCCUUUGGUGCUUAGAGUCCCAUCUGUCAUCUAGCACCAUUUGAAAUCGGUUAU